GACCACAGUGGGCCUGAAUAAAGCCCAUGACGAUUGUCACAGCAGUGAGGAAUAUUGGUCAAUAGCCUAACGGCUGAACCAGCAACUUGGAGGAAUGUAUAGCAAUAGCUACUUGCAUCAUUGUAAAUAGAUGCAAGAUCGACUAUGUCGAAUAAAAUUCUAGGUAGAAUUAUGAUAAUGACAUUGUCUGCCUAUGUGUCUUGACCAAAUUACGUGCCAGCAGUCGCGGUAAUACGUAAAAGACUAGUGUUAUUCAUGUUUAAUCGGUUUAAAGGGUACCUAGACGGUAAAUCAAGCCUAAAAGGAAAUAAAUGAAGGGACUAAUUUACUAGAGUUACUUAUGAGGGGGUAUUAAAGUACUGCUGGUGUAGAGAUGAAAUUCUGCAUACCUCUUUUCAAUAGAAAAAUAAUGGCACAGGUAUAGGCGAAAGCAUCCCCUUAUGUGAUAACUGACGUUGAGGGACGAAGGCUUUGUGUAGCGAACAGGAUUAGAUACCCCAGUAGUCAAAGCAGAAAAUGAUGAAUGUCAUAGAUUAGAUAUAUAAGUUUAUUCUAUAAAUGAAAGUGUAAGCAUUCCACCUCAAGAGUAAUUUGGCAACAUUGGAACUGAAAUCAUUAGACCGUUUCUGAAACCAGUAGGAAGUAUGUUGUUUAAUUUGAUGAUCCGCAAAAAACCUUACCACAAUUUGAAUAUUUAUAUCUUUUAUUG
rnacentral:rRNA from 1 species